GGAGGGAUACCGAAGCGGUCACAACGGGGCGGUCUUGAAAACCGUUAGGGGGCAACCCCACAUGGGUUCGAAUCCCAUUCCCUCCGCCA
rnacentral:tRNA from 1 species